AGGGGAGAAAUGUGAAGUCCAGAAAGGGAAAUGAUACUAAGAAAUUGCACGGUGCUGCAAAGGAAACUAAACACGAAAAUUGCAACCAGUGGUGGAGUGCAGCUGUCUGUAGAAGAGCUACUCAUGAGACUACCUGUGCAUGAAGACUGCACUGAAGGGAAUGUACAUUUUGUAGAGAGACUGGGAGACAGAAGUUGCUUGGAUGCUAAAGCAGCUAACAAAAUUUUUGAAAGGGCUGUAAAGAGCAGAAAAGAAAAUCCCCCUUCUGAACCAAAAGAAUAAUAAUCUACAGCAUUUACUGAAGAAGAUUUUAAGAAAUUCGAAGAGGAAUAUUUUGUGAACUGAUGUUGGGAGUUGUGGUUAUCAAUUAAACUUUGUGGAAUUGUUUUCGGUAUUCUGUAACAGGAAAAUUACUCAGCAGGCAGUUUUCAAAUAAAUUACACAAUUCCAUACUGUUGCUAAGUGAAUAUGUACAUAGGAAUUAUGUUAUUAAUUAUGCAACAGAUAAGGUCUACAUAACAUACAAGGUCAAGGUUUCCUACUGAUUUCACUGCUUAGAAACUGUGAAGAACUCUCAAUGGUUCUGAAGAUUAUAAAUGAAAAUAAAUGUGCUUUGGUAACACAUCUGCUUAAAGACUUCUUUUUAUGAAGGGUCCUGAUUUUGUUUCAAGUGAUGUGACUGAUUAAAGGGGAAUGCUCUUAGCAAAGAAAAUUUUGGAAUUAAAGCGCUUUUUUUCUGUCAUCUUGAAAACUUGCCAAAUGAACUGAAAUUUAUUACAAAUCUUGAGUGUACCAUAUCCAGUGUGCAGCAGAUCCUCAUGAAUGAAACUGUAAUCUUCUCUGAACAGACACAACAAAGAAUAUGCAACAGUUUAAGAUUAUAUGAGAAAUAGUUUAUAAAAUCCAAUAUAAUAGUUUUCUUCACACUCUAAGAGAAAAUGGACAUGUUAAGAACUCUGUUAUAAAGUUUAAUGAACGCAACAUCUGUGAUUUUGUCUAUAUGUAACAUUCACCUGUGACUGAAUUAUCAAUAAUUUCAUAUAUUUUUUUUUGUAUUCAUUAUGCUCAUUGUUUGAAGUACAUUCCUUUAGCAUUUAAAUAUUUCUACCAGGCUAACAGAAUGUAUAUUUGAAAAUGGAAAGUAGAAUAGGAGAGGUUUACUGAACAAUUCAGAGCUGUUUUGAAUAUACAUAUGAGGAAGCUGUGAGUUAGAAAUAUAUUCAAAAUAAAUAUGUGGCUUAUAGUGGAGGUGUCGGGUGCUACAUGCAGUGGCAAAUCAACAUUAGUAUAGUCUCUGCACAAACAACUACCUGGUUCAUUUUUGGUAUGUCAGGAUGACUUCUUUCUGCCUGUAGAUAGCCAGCGACAUACUGAGCCCAGCCUUGAACCAUUUUAAUUGGGAAAUUAUGACGAGCCUGGAUAUGUAAAAAAAAUGCAUGUUGUAACUGAAAACUGUCUUUUCUCUGACAGUGCUGAAACUGUUUUACCUCUCAGUAGCUUAGUGGAGGCUGUUAACAGGAUGGCAGGGUCACCUCUCUAUGUGGAAAGUGAUAAAAUUGUAACAGUUCUUAAUAUCAAUAUUGGAUGCCACAGAGUAAUACCACAAGAUCCGGUACAUUUCAAACCAGACGGAACUCAAUCAAUGGCAACACGUGAAAGACACUGACAACACAUCAUCAGAAACAAAGAUGGCAGAUGGCUGUGGUGACAAGCAGAUAUCAGGUGUUCGUAUUCUCAUUAUCAAAGGGUUGCUCAUUUUCACUGACAAGAAAAUAGCUGACUUAUGCCACUGCAAGUACUUCUUAACUCUCACCAGAGAGCAAUGCUGGACAAGACGAGGUGUCGGAACAUAUGAUCCUCCAGAUGUACCAGGCUACUAAAAUCAGUGUAUAUGGCCUGAAUAUGAGAAACAUCAUGAUGAAGUUUUCAAACAAGUUCCAUAUGUUACUGUCACAGAUGGAAAUCAGAACAGAACCAGUGUAUUGAAACAGUCUACUAGGUAUUACUCAAAGAGCUCAUGAGUUGCUUCAAUUACAGAAAAGUUGAUGGUUAAAUUAUGUAGCUGUUCUACUCUGGAUGAACAGAUACUGAUGAAGUUUGGUGUUUUAUAACUGUAACUGAAAUUCAACAACAAAAGCAAAUUUAGUCUAAUAGGAUGAAAACUGUCCUAUGAAUGCCCAAAUACUUCUUUUCAGAUUAGUGUUUACCAGAAUAUAACACAAACCCCCUUCUAAAAG